GCUUGUGUGUAUGUGUAUAUAUGUUCUUGUGUAUGUAUGCAUGUGUGCAUGUUUGUGUGUAUGUGUAUGUUCUUAUGUAUGUAUGUGUGCGUGUGUGUUUGUGUGUAUGUGUAUAUAUGUUCUUGUGUAUGUAUGCAUUUAUGCAUGCUUGUGUGUAUGUGUAUAUAUGUUCUUGUGUAUAUAUGCGUGUGUGCAUGUUUGCAAGUAUGUGUGUAGGUUCUUGUGUAUGUAUACAUGUGUACAUGUUUGUGUGUUUGUGUGUAUGUUCUUGUGUAUAUAUGCGUGUGUACCUGUUUGUGUGUUUGUGUGUAGGUUCUUGUGUAUGUAUACAUGUGUACAUGUUUGUGUGUGUGUAUGUUCUUGUGUAUAUAUGCAUGUGUGCAUGUUUGUGUGUAUGUAUGCAUACAUAUGUGCAUGCUUGUGUGUAUGUUCUUGUGUAUGUAUGCAUGUGUGCAUGUGUAUAUGCUCUUAUGUAUGAAUACAUGUGUGCAUGUUUGUGUGUAUGUAUGUAUGUCCUUGUGUAUGUAUACAUGUGUGUAUGUAGGAGCCAGAAGUCAAUUUCAAGUGUCUUCCUUGAUCAUUAACUUUUUAAUCUUAUUUUUUCAAAAAGAUUUAAAAAUUGUGUGUGUGUGUGUAUGUGUGUGUGUGCACUUGAAUAGGAUGCCAGGAGAGGGUGUUGGCUCCCCUGGAUGUGGAGGUAUAGGCAGCUUUAAGCCAUCUGGCAUGGGGUUCUCUGGAAGAGCUGGGCACACUUGUUAGCUGAUGAGUUACCUCCUAAACCCUUCCGAUUUUAUUUGUUUACUGAGACUGCGUCUCUUAAUGAACACAGAGCUUAUCGAAUCAGCUAGACUAGCUGGCCAGUUAGCUUCAGGAGCACCCCUGUCUCCCAUCCCCUAGUCCAGGGGUUCCAGAUGUGGACUGCCAUAUCUUGCUUUUGUUUGGAUGCUUGGGAUUGGACUUAAGGUCCUUACACUUGUGUGGCAGGCACAUUACUGACCGAGCCAUACCCAGAGUCCCUUUAAUAGGCUCUGCACUCCUUUCUGGUCCCUGUGACCUUUCUGAGUUUAGAUGAAUCUCCAAAGGGAUUCUGUAUUCUGUGUCAGAUACAGGUGUAAACACAGACCCAGGAAGGCCGCCUGUCGUUGGGGUCAGCGCUGUGACUGCUAUCCUGACUGGGCGGCAGACUAGGACUUGCCUCUGUAACACAGGUUCUCUGUGGCAGGACAGGACCCUAAGCCCACUUUUGCAGGCUUCAGGGUCCAAUGAAUGUGACUUUCUCAUGUGAUUUCCUUCCCAGCACCUGUGCUAUGACCCCUUUCCUCUAGGCUGCCAUUUGGUUAGCAAGAAUAGUGUCCGAGGAGACCAACCACUCCAGGAUUCUCCAGGAGUUUGAAUGCAGCAGACCUAACAAAAACAAAUUUUUAGCUCUGUGCCACACAGGAGGGAGACAAUGCUUGCAUUUGGGUGAGAGACCCUUGAUGUCCCAACUCUUAUCCCCUCCUCUCCCAGCCACUGCAUCUAAGUCCUCUGGAAGUGGUCUGGGCAGUGGGCCAGGUCACUUGUUAAGAAGCCAAUUUGCAAAGGAUUGACAGAAGUCAGGCAAUAAUCCACUCGGACAGAUCCACAGCUCGGGGACUUCAGGAUAAUUAGUGAAGAGUGUUAACCAGCAGUGCUGCCAAAACGUUUUGCUCCAGGUCCAAGAUGAGCGUCUGCGGCCAGGAUGGGCCUGUUUCCUGUGGUGAAUUCCCAUCACGAUGCUGCCGCUAUUUCCUGUCCAGCUAAAGAUCAGAAAGUGACAGGCUGCCUCUCGCUUCCCUGCCUGCCCAGCCUGCUGGUUUCAGCAGUAGUUUGUCAUGCCAGAAUGCCUAACGAGACCAGCUCCCAACACCUGUGGCCCUAAUAAUCACCAGAGUGGGACAUUUCUGUGUGGUGCGUUCCCAAAGAAUUGAAGAAGUACCUGGCACUUGGGAAAUGGGUUAGCUGAUAAAGCUACUUGUCUUGUGAGUUUGAUCCUCAGAACUUUGGUAAAAAGCCAGGUAAAUUGUUAUGCACUUUUAAUCCCAGAGCUGGGGAGGAUCCCAGUACUCACUGGCCAGCCUGAUGGUCGAGCCUAUUCUGUAAGCUCCAGGACAGUCAGAGACAAUCAGAAAAUAAGGUGAAUGGUAUCUGAAAAAUACACCUGAGGCUGUCCUGUGGCCUCCACAUGCAUAUGCAUGCACACAUACACACAUAUAAACACACACAAAUAUGUUGUUGUAAAAAUAUAAAAAUAAUAAAGAGUAACGGUGUCUUUUACCCCGCUAGCUUUGUACCGCGGUGCCCCAAGAUAUCUGCUUUGGCACCUGGGGCUGGAGGACUGACCUGGCACCACCUCACCCACUACACCACUCAGGAUGGAAUCUUACUCCUCAGAGCCUGCUGAGAGAGUGGACAGGAGAAAACGAUGCCUGGAUUUGGGGGUGAAGCCAACUUGCUUGCCCACUCUGCAGAAUGGCGGUCCUGGACAUGUCUCAGCUGUCCAUGAUGUACCCAUCUUUCUUGUUUCUCCCUUCCCAGCUCUGCAGGAACCUAACUGAGAGACAAUUGCAAUUGAUAUGGUGGCCUAGAGCCAUGCGGAUGGUCCGGUUCCACCCUUUGGAGGCCUCCCUGCCUCAACACCACCAUACUGGGAGCCAAGCCUCUGGCACUUGUACCCUAAGGAAACACAUUCGAAGCACAGCAUGCCCAUGGCUCAAAAUCCAUUCUAGUCCCCGAAGCCUGGUGUCGAUCUGUGUACUGGGGUGCUAUCCGCCGGGAUCUGCUGGGCUCUGGCCUGGCAGGAGUGGCCAAAGAGUUGCAGAUCUCCAAGGGGGAGCUGGAGCAAGGUGAGGCUUUUCCAUGAUGGUUGCUGUCCCAGAGUGGUGGCAGGUGAUACAGGUCACAGCAGGUGGCUAGGAACCAAAGUGGGGACCACCAGGCAGGAAGUGGCUGCGGUAGGCCUGAGCAGCUUUUGACAGCUUUGUAAGAGAAUAAUCUUCCUUUUGGGGGUUACAGCUUAAUAAAACGGGCACUCAGACGGCCUUUGGUGAAAUAA